UACAGGGGGUGCAAACGUUGUUCGGAAUCACUGGGCGUAAAGGGCGCGUAGGCGGCCGUUCAAGUCGGGGGUGAAAGCCUGUGGCUCAACCACAGAAUUGCCUUCGAUACUGGACGGCUCGAGACCGGAAGAGGUCAGUGGAACUGCGAGUGUAGAGGUGAAAUUCGUAGAUAUUCGCAAGAACACCAGUGGCGAAGGCGGCUGACUGGUCCGGUUCUGACGCUGAGGUGCGAAAGCGUGGGGAGCAAACAGG
rnacentral:rRNA from 1 species